rnacentral:rRNA from 1 species
AUGGGAUUAGAGACCCCAGUAGUCCGUCCAUGGAUCAAAUUAUUUCGUGGAUUGGAUUUCACUUGCCUGUCUAUGGUUCCCUUGCGUGUGCUCGGGAUAGGUGUUUUGUAUAAAUGUUUCGCCAUGAGACAAAACGGGAUCGCCUAUGUUGGGGUACAGACCAUAAUGCGGUACGCCCCACAAGGACUCGAAGAGACGGUCAUGCCAGUCUCUCCUAUUCCUUUUCUCCAUCUUCGUGAGUAUCUUGCCAAGAGUCUUGUGGAAGGCUUUGAUCACGCCGUUGGAUUGGUGUAG